GAGUUGUAGCGUACCCUGGGGUCUGUUCUGGAGGAGGCCUGAGAGCGGGGUUGCCUGGGGCGUGGGUCUCUCAUCCCUCUCGUCCUGGUGAAGAAGAAGAGUAUACCCAGCGGCAGCUGGCUUGGCUUUUUCAGAGGAAACAGAGACUCUCAGACAUGAAUACUGUGACACUGACCACCAGGCCAACUUAACAUCAGCAGAUAUCCUGUCUCAGAUGAAGAGAAUGGCCUGUCCAGAAGACAGCCAAAUACAUCCUUCAAACAGACUUCACUGCAGGAGACAGAGUGGAUUCAUCCUGUAUUCUCCAUGUAGACUUCCAUCUUCAUGAGUACUCCAAGAAGAUGGUUCAGUUGACUAUUGCAAAGUCUCAGGUAUGUCUUUAUCAGCAGCAUGAAAAUGGACUAAUAGUACCAGUAGAGUGGGGCAUUGCUGAAAAGAUACCCGAAAAUGUGGAAGCAACUUUGGAACUGGGUGUUGAAAUAAUCUGGAGGGCUCAGAAGAAGAUAGGAAAAUGUAGGAAAGUUUGGAACCUCCUAGAGACUGUGAAUGGCAUUGACAAAAAUACUGAUAGUGAUAUGAACAAUAAGGUCCAGGCUGAGGUGGUCUCAGAUGGAGAUGAAGACCUUGUUGGGAACUGAAGUAAAGGUGACCCUUGUUAUGUUUUAGCAAGGAGACUGGCAGCAUUUCACCCUUGCCCUAGAGAUUUGUGGAACUUAGAGCUUGAGAGAGAUGACUUAGGGUAUCUGGUGGAAUAAAUUUCUAAGCAGCAAAGCAUUCAAAAGGUGACUUGGGUGCUGUUAAAAACAUUCUGUUUUAAAAGGGAAACAAGAGCAUAAAUGUGGAAAAUCUGCAGCCUGAUGAUGCAGUAGAAAAGAAAAACCCAUUUUUUUUAAGGAGAAAUUCAAGCUGGCUGCAGAAAUUUGCAUAAGCAGCAAGGAGCCUAAUGUUAAUCCCCAAGACCAUGGGGAAAAUGUCUCCAGGUCAUGUCAGAGACCUUCAUGGCAGCCCCUCCCAUCACAGGCCCAGAGGCCCAGGAGGAAAAAGUGGUUUUGUGGGCUGGGCCCAGGGUCUCUGUGCUGUGUGCAGCCUAGGGACUUGGUGCCCUGUGUCCCAGCUGCUCCAGCCAUGGCUGAAAGGAGCCAACAUAGAGCUUGGGCUGUGGCUUCAGAGGGUAGAGGCCCCAAGCAUUGGCAGCUUCCAUGUGAUGUUGAGCCUGUGGGUGCAGAGAUGUCAAGAAUUGAGAUUUGGGAACCUCUGCCUAGAUUUCAGAAUAUAUAUGGAAACACCUGGAUGUCCAGGCAAAAGUUUGCUGCAGGGGCAGAGCCCUCAUGGGGAACCUCUCCUAGGGCAGUGUGGAAGGGAAAUGUGGGGCAGAGCCCCCACACAGAGUCCCUGUUGGGGCACUGCCUAGUGGAGCUGUGAGAAGAAGGCCACAGUCCCAGAACGGUAGACCCCAGAAUGGUAGACCCCAGAAUGGUAGAUCAACCACCAACUUGCAUCUUGUGCCUGGAAAAGCUACAGACACUCAACAUCAGCCUGAGAAAGCAGCCAGGAGGGAGGCUGUACUCUGCAAAGCCACAGGGGCGGAGCUGCACAAGACCAUGGGAACCUAUCUCUUGCAUCAGCAUGACCUGAAUGUGAGACAUGGAGUCAAAGGAGAUCAUUAUGGAGCUUUAAAAUUUGACUGCCCCACUGGAUUUCAGACUUGCAUGGACCCUGUAACCCCUUUGUUUUGGCCAAUUUCUCUCAUUUGGAACAGCUGUAUUUACCCAAUACCUGUACCCCCCAUUGUAUCUAGGAGGUAACUAGCUUGCUUUUACAGGCUUGUAAGUGGAAGGGACUUGCCUUGUCUCAGAUGAGACUUUGGACUGUGGACUUUUGGGUUAAUGCUGAAAUGAGUUAAGACUUUGGGGAACUGUUGGGAAGGAAUGAUUGGUUUUGAAAUGUGAGGAUUAUGAAAUUUGGAGGAGCCCAGGGAGGAAUGAUAUGGUUUGGCUGUGUCCCCACCCAAAUCUCAACUUGAAUUGUAUCUCCCAGAAUUCCCACAUGUUGUGGGAGGGACGCAGUGGGAGGUAAUUGAAUCAUGGAGGCCAGUCUUUUCUGUGCUAUUCUCGUGAUAAUAAGUCCCACAAGAUCUGGUGGGUUUAUGAAGAGUUUCUGCUUUUGCUUCUUCCUCAUUUUGCUCUUGAUGCCACCACGUAAGAAGUACCUUUUGCCUCCCACCUGAUUUUGAGGCCUCCCCAGCCAUGUGGAACUGUAAGUCCAAUUAAACCCUUUUUGUUUCCAGUCUCAGAUAUGUCUUUAUCAGCAGCAUGGAAACGAACUAAUACAAUCAUAGUUUUUAAAAACCAAUCUAAAUGUAACUAUUGAACAUGAUUAGCUGUUUCAUCCCUAGUAGAGUGACAGAAGGAAACAUCCAUAGACAGGAGUAAUAAGAAACCAGCUAAACUUCUAAACCAUUUUUAAAGGAUGCGUGUGAGCUGGCAUAACCUACCUACUCUUUCCUAUGGGCCUCUACUGAGAGCAUGGAGGUAAUACAUCUAAUACACUGAAGACCAGGGCAAGAGAGCUGGAAGAAAUCCCUCUUAAGCACUCCAGGCCUUCACUGAGUAUGAGGUGCUGGUCUCCAAAGGCAGAGGGCAAGGCAAGGCAGAGAGGGAUCUCCUGGGGCACAGACAACUGACAAAAGAAACACUUGGAUUGUUGUAUAAGAGGAGUGAGCUUUGUAAAUACCACGUUAGCUGGCCUGCUGUGGAACAGAAUGCCUGUGAAUGACAGUAGUCAGGUAGUGGAUGAACACUGAUCUGAGAGCCUGUAAAAGAAACUCUUUGGAAUGAUAAUGUCAUCUAGACCUUUGAUACGCAAAGUGUGAUUCCUGGACAGAUGUAUUGGCUUUACCUGGCAGCUUGUUGGAAAUGUAAAACCUCAGGCCUCACCCCAGACCUAC
ensembl:lncRNA ENTPD1-AS1 ENTPD1 antisense RNA 1